UAUCAGAUAAUUUCAGAGUUCCAAAUGCUGCUUGGCAAAGCACAAUCAUUCAACCCACUCUCACAGCAAGCUAAGGACCUCAUUAAAAAAUUGGAGGCUAUAACUGGAUCUGAGAAACCAGUUAGUAAGUAAUGUACCUGGGUACUAUGUUCAGUGCUGUUUUUUAAAUUCAAAGUAAAUGGCCAAAAGCAUAAUCUGUAUAUGAAUAUGUGUAUACUAAUUGUGCUUCCUUCAAUAUCAACACUGAAUAGGCUUUGUUUCCCACAAAAUCGACAAUACUGGGAAAUCAUUUAGCGAUUUUCUGUUGUCUAUUUGAGGGUGAGCUGAGAAUGAUGUCAGUCUUGGCAGCCAUGGAGGAGGGCACCAAAUUUGACCGAGGGAAUGGAGUGAAGUCUGCCUCCAUGGUGACUGUUCUAAAGUAAGAUGUCUGAACGUAGUCUCCAUAGCAGUACCUCAAACUCACGCUUUCCUGAGUUUCGAAGAGGCUAGUCUAAAGGGAACAAGAGUAAUUUGCCUGCUCUUGAGCUGUCCAAUGAGUACGACUGUGCUUUCAACAAGUUUGCAACCACCCAAGCAAAUCACCAUGGGCCACUUUCAAGGUACUCUGUAUUGAGUGAAAUUGUAUCCUGUGUUCCUCGGUUCAUCCUGUGCAGUGCAGUCAAGAUGAGCCCUCCAAGAUGUACACCCUCUGCAAAAGGCACAAUCUUUACAUUGUAAGCCCAGCCCAUGUACAUUUGUGCAAUCCCACGAUAUCCUACUCAAUGCUAACCUGUUUUCUCUCAAUACAAUCUCAAGUUUGGACCAUUGCUGCUGUGUCUGAAUAUCUGGAUACUGACUUGUCCCAGUUAACCACUUUUAUAGAUAUGUAAAGUCUCACUAUUUCCAGCCUGCAAUCAUUUGAUCCUUGGUUUGCUGUUUUCAUUUUCACUGAAUGUCUUUUGUAAUUACUUAGCCAGCAUUGUAAUAUCCCCAAGACAACAUUCUGAUUAGUGUCAUGUACAUUAUAGGCAGUGAGUGAUUUCCACUUUUGCAGCCACCUUUUGGGUGCACCCUGCCACAACAGGAAAUUUGACAAGAACAUUCCAGGGGGAAAAAAAACAUUUUUCUUUGAGUUCAGGUCUGGUGAUUCUCUCCACUGGAUUACAC
ensembl:lncRNA